AACCUGACUACUGCUCAUGGGGGAAGCAGUCAAACCCAUGGCCACCCUCACGAGGAUCCCACUCGCACCAUUCUUUUGUCAUCUCUGCGCUUGACGAGCACAUCACUUCUCUCGUCGGAAACAGACAAGUCAUUUGCUGACAAAAUCAACCCAUUACAGCAGGCUGCAGAGUGCCCACCACACACAGAAACACGCGUCGCAAUUUGGGGCAGGGGCACCCAGUGGGGUGGAGGAAGGACGAGCAGCAGCGCCGAUAGCGAGACGCAACCAUUCGAACAAAAGAGAUUCCAAGAUGUCGCACUGAGAAAAUCUUCCUGCGGAGAGCUCCCCCCCAGCAGCGGGGGAUGCUCGGGGGCUGCGGGCACACGGGUGGCUCCCCCUGGCGCGGCCGCAUCGCUGCGCGGGGUGGAACCGCAGCGCGGAAAUCACCGCCGAAAGGACCCGAGUGCGGACGACACAGGCUCCCUCGGUCCAGGGAGGGGGGCCUUCCCCAUUUUCCAUCGGCGCCGAGGGGCCAUUUCGCGGGGUCGGGGGGAAGAGAAGGGGCGGCGCUGCUUUAGAAAUAGCACCGCGCGAGAUGCGCACCGCGUGUGGGGAGCGCGCUGGGGGGUGCGGCGGAGCUCCAUCAUCUCUCCACUGCGCGGCGAGGGGCCGGGGGGCUCCCCUGAGGUCCCUCGAGGAGGGGCGGGGGGCGAUGGGGGGCGGCUUUGUUCCUCCCCGGGCCCGAUCCCCGACGGGGCGGGCCCCGCGCCCCCGCCCCGCGCAUGCGCUGGGCAGAGACAAAGGAGCGGGCGCUGGCGGCCCCCCCGCGCGGCAGUGGGUCGAGGCUGGGGGGGGGAUGUCGUGCGUGUGCCCGGCGGCGGGGCGAGGACUCGCGUGUUCGUGGGGAGAGAUGGAGGGGAGAAGGCAGCGGGCUGCUGGGGGUGUGCGGCUUCCCGGGGGGCGAGAUGGGGGAAGAGGGGUGAAAAACGGUGGGAAGGGAUCUACUGGGGGAAGGAGAAGAAGGCGCUCGAUGAAUAUUCAUGGUACGCGAGGAUGGGAGCCGGGCGCUGGGGCAGCGCAGCCCCCCGCACCCCGAUACCCCGCGGGCAUCCACCCACCCGCUACCGCGUCCAGCACUCGGUGCCGGGGGGGCCCGCCCGGCCGGGAACCGUCGCGCUGCCUCCCCCACAACGAGCCCCCCCGCCCCGCGCCCCGCUCCCACCGAGGGGUUCGGGGCUGCGCUGUGGUUUUCUCCGCUCAUUGUUAAGAAACGGGGCGCAAAAUCCGCUCGUUCCCACCACACCCAUCUCUUCCUGCCCCCCCUCGAGAAAGCGCCGUCGGGCAUUUAAACCCCACGGCAUCGCCCUCGCUCCGCUUUGUGCCUCGAAGCCUCUCCCGGGCGCCGUCCCUCUCUCGAGGAACAGCUCUCCCCACAUCCCCGCACCGCGCGGGAGGGAUAAAGCACGGCGGGCGCGGAGCCCCCCGAGCCGCUGCCCAUCGCCACGCGCGGGUCGCGCCGCUCCUUACCCCGCGUGCUGCCGCUGCCGCUCUCGCUGUGCCUGUGCCGCGCUGCCGCCCGCCCCGCGCAGCCCGGAGCCGCUGUGCGCUGCGGCUGCCGCUCGCUCGCCGGGCGCGGAGUGCCUCGCGCUGCUGCUGGAGCACUGCCGCCGCUACCGCGGCUGCUGCCUCUGCAUUUCUCGCUCUCGCUCACUCUCCCCCCUCCCUCUCUCUGCUCCCUCCCCCCUUCCCUGUGACAGUCUGUGGGCAGUUCAAAAGCCACACGCACUUAUUUAUUUAUUUCCCGGCCCGGCGGGCGGGGGUAGGGGAGAGAGGGGUGCGCCGCGCCGCGCUCGCGCGUAG
ensembl:lncRNA